rnacentral:lncRNA from 1 species
AUAGGAGGGGUGGAACCCAGCAGCGCUGACUGAGCCGCCGCGAAGUGCCGGAACGUAUUACCUGGGAGCCAAAUUUCAGAGCGUCGUUUGUCUUCCCAAGCCCACCAGCUUUCAGCGUUCUCCAGCCUCGCCACACCCCCGCCUCGGGCCGUCCCCGCCCAGACGCUUGUCCCCGCGAGAAGCUGAGCGCACUGAAGUGAGCCCGGCGGCUGCCGCCGGAGGAGGAGCCCGGCUCUGGACACGGCCGUCAGGAAGCUCAGAGGCUGCAGCACCGCUUCUGCGUUGAUUUCCGCUUGACUUUUACUCUUUUCUUGGGUUAAAAAUCAAACGCCGACCCGAGGCGUCAGAGAUGGGCGGUCGUUAGGCGCAGUGGCGGCCCCCGGAUGUUUGCGAUGGGACGGCGGGCUCGGAACGUGUGGACGUGGGCUUUGGAGACAGCGUCUCACCCUGUCGCCCAGGCUGGAGUGCAACGGCACAAUCUCGGCUCACUGCAACCUCCACCUCCAGGGUUCAAGCAAUUCCCCUGCCUCAGCUUCCCAAGUAGCUGGGAUUACAGGCACACACCACCACACCUGGCUAAUUUUUUGCAUCUUUGGUAGAGACGGGGUUUCACCAUGUUGGCCAGGCUGGUCUUGAUCUCCUGAC